rnacentral:rRNA from 1 species
CCUACGGGUGGCUGCAGUGGGGAAUAUUGGACAAUGGGGGGAACCCUGAUCCAGCCAUGCCGCGUGUGUGAAGAAGGCCCUCGGGUUGUAAAGCACUUUCAGUGAGGAAGAACGCCUGGUGGUUAAUACCCAUCAGGAAAGACAUCACUCACAGAAGAAGCACCGGCUAACUCCGUGCCAGCAGCCGCGGUAAUACGGAGGGUGCGAGCGUUAAUCGGAAUUACUGGGCGUAAAGCGCGCGUAGGUGGCUUGAUAAGCCGGUUGUGAAAGCCCCGGGCUCAACCUGGGAACGGCAUCCGGAACUGUCAAGCUAGAGUGCAGGAGAGGAAGGUAGAAUUCCCGGUGUAGCGGUGAAAUGCGUAGAGAUCGGGAGGAAUACCAGUGGCGAAGGCGGCCUUCUGGACUGACACUGACACUGAGGUGCGAAAGCGUGGGUAGCAAACAGGAUUAGAUAUCCAGUAGUC